GUCUUAUUGAAAUUAAUUCUAAGUCAAUCUGCCCAAUGAAAUAUUUAAAUGGCUGCAGUAUACCUGACUGUGCAAAGGUAGCAUAAUAAUUUGGUGUUUAAUUGAAAUCUGGAAUGAAUGGAUUAAUGAAAUAUAUACUGUCUCAUAUUUAUUUAAUUAAUUUAAAUUUUUAAUAAAAAUGUUAAAAUUAUUUUAUGGGACGAUAAGACCCUAUAGAAUUUUAUAUUAAUUUUUUUUUGUACAAAAUAUAAAAUUAGAAUUAAUAUUUAAUUGGGAGAAUUAUUAAAUUUAUUAAAUUUUAAUAUUUAUUAACUUUGAUUUAAGAAAAUUUUUUGAUCUUUAAUUUAAAAUCACUAGAUUAAAUUACCUUAGGGAUAACAGCGUAAUAUUUUUUUAUAGGACAUAUAGAAAAAAAUGAUUGCGACCUCGAUGUUGAAUUAAGAUAAAUUUUAAAUGCAGGAGUUUAAUGAUUAAGUCUGUUCGACUUUUAAAAUCUUACAUGAUUUGAGUUCAAAUCGACGUAAGU
rnacentral:rRNA from 1 species